CCAAGAUUGACAGGCAAGCCGUAAAAUAAAAUAUUUAUUACUUGUAAUAGAAUUACGUUUAUUAUCUACAAUUUACCCUCAUUUUAACGCCUAUAUAUGUUAAGAGGUUAUAAACGAAUGGUUUCCGUACAAGUGUUUUUCAGUUGUAUUAGCAUUUAUUUUAUGUUACCUUUUAGCGCAAAGUACGCCAACAGAAUACUUAAUUCAGUCGAAACAAUUGGAAAAACUUUGUUUGUUGAUGAGAACGGGCUACCUAUACCAUAAGUAAACUUUCCCUAUUAUACCAGUUACGCUGUAGUUAGUUUUGACAAAUAAGCAUGAUUUAACGAAAGUCUUUGGAACUAUGAAUCUAGGAAUAAGUUACAAACUUAAAUUUGAAGGCCGGCUUUUAUACGAGAAAAUGUUGAACCAUGGUUGAAACAAAUAAAUGUAAUAAUUAAAUUGAUAUGAUACAUACCUGCUAUUUUUGAAAUAUAUUAAUAUAUUGAUAGAAAGAUUGUUUCAAUUAGUAUUACUUCAGGUAGUUUCGGCAUUUUAGGUAUGUAAUUGUGCACUUAAUUUAAAAAUAACUUAGAAAGAAGCUUGAAACGCAUAGGGGCUCUUUAUGUGUGCUGUAUAAUUAAGGUUUGUAUGUUAUGGAGUCAUUUUUAUACAACAAAUUUAUUAUUAGUUGAAUAAAAGCAAGUUAAUACCACAUAAUUCAA
rnacentral:lncRNA from 1 species